rnacentral:rRNA from 1 species
AGUGAACGCUGGCGGUAGGCCUAACACAUGCAAGUCGAACGGCAGCACAGUAAGAGCUUGCUCUUACGGGUGGCGAGUGGCGGACGGGUGAGGAAUACAUCGGAAUCUACUUUUUCGUGGGGGAUAACGUAGGGAAACUUACGCUAAUACCGCAUACGACCUACGGGUGAAAGCAGGGGACCUUCGGACCUUGCCCGAUUGAAUGAGCCGAUGUCGGAUUAGCUAGUUGGCGGGGUAAAGGCCCACCAAGGCGACGAUCCGUAGCUGGUCUGAGAGGAUGAUCAGCCACACUGGAACUGAGACACGGUCCAGACUCCUACGGGAGGCAGCAGUGGGGAAUAUUGGACAAUGGGCGCAAGCCUGAUCCAGCCAUACCGCGUGGGUGAAGAAGGCCUUCGGGUUGUAAAGCCCUUUUGUUGGGAAAGAAAAGCAGCAGGUUAAUACCCCGCUGUUCUGACGGUACCCAAAGAAUAAGCACCGGCUAACUUCGUG